AUGAACGCUAGCGGCAGGCUUAAUACAUGCAAGUUGAGGGGCAGCAUGAUAUACGCGAGUAUAUUGAUGGCGACCGGGGACGGGUGAGUAAUAGGUAGGAGACCUACCUCAUACAGGGGGAUAGCAUAGAGAAAUCUGUGGUAAUACCCCAUGAGGUUAUAUGAAUAGAGGCAUAUAAUCAAAGCAUAAGCGAUUAUGCGGUAUGAGAGGGGCCUACUGACCAUUAGCUAGUUGGUGAGGUAAGGGCUCACCAAGGCGAAGAUGGUUAGGGGUUUUGAGAGAGAGACCCCCCACAUUGGAACUGAGAGACGGUCCAGACUCCUACGGGAGGCAGCAGUAGGGAAUAUUGGGCAAUGGGCGAAAGCCUGACCCAGCCAUGCCGCGUGAAGGAUGACGGCCCUAUGGGUUGUAAACUUCUUUUCAGGGGGAUAAAAUUUUGUAUGAAUACAGAACUGAAGGUACCCUGAGAAUAAGCAUCGGCUAACUCCGUG
rnacentral:rRNA from 1 species